rnacentral:lncRNA from 1 species
CAGCUCAAUUCAACCAUUUUCUGUUUGGCAUAUGGGGAGGGAGAUGAAGCCUCUAAAUCUUAGUUAUAUGAGAAGGACAAAGUUAAAGUAUGUGAAAGAUACAACCUCAAAUUAAACUCUCCAUGAGAUUAAUGAUGACAAAAUGAACAGGACUUUUGAAGUAAGUAAGUGAAGCCCAAGGGAUUGAAGAUACCGUGACGAGAAGAGAAGCUAGCCCUGGGAUACAGGGUAGUAUGAGUCGAGAGCACUCAGCUUUAAAAGCCCUGUUACCUUGCAACAGGGGCCAGCAGAGAACAGGAGGGAGAGGGACUGGAAGCCAAGUUAGGGGAACUUACUAGACUGGUGACUCAUACCGAAGCUUCAUCCCUGGGCAAGACCAGCCUAGAGGGUGGGUGUAGUAAGCAGCCCUAGACUUAGCAAGCUGGGCCAGUGCAGCAAUGCAGGAAAAACAAAAUGCCUACCAACCAGGCAGGCUCAGAGCAGGGAACAGGGCCCUGACACGUGGGGAAACGGGACUGGAGGAGGGCAUGGAUCUAGAGUGCUAGAG